UACGAGGGGGGCGAGCGUUGUUCGGAAUCACUGGGCGUAAAGAGUGCGUAGGCGGUUAUGAAAGUUAGAAGUGAAAGCCCCAGGCUCAACUUGGGAAUUGCUUUUAAAACUCCAUGACUCGAAUUCGGGAGAGGAUAGCGGAAUUCUCAGUGUAGCAGUGAAAUGCGUAGAUAUUGAGAGGAACACCGGUGGCGUAAGCGGCUAUCUGGACCGACAUUGACGCUGAGGCACGAAAGCGUGGGGAUCAAACAGG
rnacentral:rRNA from 1 species